rnacentral:rRNA from 1 species
GGGUGAUCUGCCUCGCACUUCGGGAUAAGCCUGGGAAACUGGGUCUAAUACCGGAUAUGACCUGCUGUCGCAUGGCGGUGGGUGGAAAGAUUUAUCGGUGCGAGAUGGGCCCGCGGCCUAUCAGCUUGUUGGUGGGGUAAUGGCCUACCAAGGCGACGACGGGUAGCCGGCCUGAGAGGGCGACCGGCCACACUGGGACUGAGACACGGCCCAGACUCCUACGGGAGGCAGCAGUGGGGAAUAUUGCACAAUGGGCGAAAGCCUGAUGCAGCGACGCCGCGUGAGGGAUGACGGCCUUCGGGUUGUAAACCUCUUUCGACAGGGACGAAGCGUGAGUGACGGUACCUGUAGAAGAAGCACCGGCCAACUACGUGCCAGCAGCCGCGGUAAUACGUAGGGUGCGAGCGUUGUCCGGAAUUACUGGGCGUAAAGAGCUUGUAGGCGGUUUGUCGCGUCGUCCGUGAAAACUUGGGGCUCAACCCCAAGCUUGCGGGCGAUACGGGCAGACUUGAGUACUGCAGGGGAGACUGGAAUUCCUGGUGUAGCGGUGAAAUGCGCAGAUAUCAGGAGGAACACCGGUGGCGAAGGCGGGUCUCUGGGCAGUAACUGACGCUGAGAAGCGAAAGCGUGGGUAGCGAACAGGAUUAGAUACCCUGGUAGU